UACGGAGGGUGCAAGCGUUAUCCGGAUUCACUGGGUUUAAAGGGUGCGUAGGCGGGCAGGUAAGUCCGUGGUGAAAUCUCUGAGCUUAACUCAGAAACUGCCAUGGAUACUAUUUGUCUUGAAUAUUGUGGAGGUAAGCGGAAUAUGUCAUGUAGCGGUGAAAUGCUUAGAUAUGACCCGGAACACCUAUUGCGAAGGCAGCAGGCUAAACAAAUAUUGACGCUGAGGCUCGAAAGCGUGGGGAUCAAACAGG
rnacentral:rRNA from 1 species